rnacentral:tRNA from 1 species
GUCCCCGUAGCUCAAGUGGAUAGAGCGUCACCCUCCGGAGGUGAAAGUCCGCGUUCGAGUCGCGGCGGGGACA